UACCAGCACCCCGAGUGGUCGGGACGAUUAUUGGGCCUAAAGCAUCCGUAGCCGGCCUUACAAGUCCUCCGUUAAAUCCAGCUGCUCAACAGAUGGGCUGCGGGAGAUACUACAGGGCUAGGAGGCGGGAGAGGCAAGCGGUACUUUAUGGGUAGGGGUAAAAUCCGCUGAUCCAUAGAAGACCACCAGUGGCGAAGGCGGCUUGCCAGAACGCGCUCGACGGUGAGGGAUGAAAGCUGGGGGAGCAAACCGG
rnacentral:rRNA from 1 species